ACUUAAAUUGAAGAGUUUGAUCAUGGCUCAGAUUGAACGCUGGCGGCAGGCCUAACACAUGCAAGUCGAACGGUAACAGGAAGCAGCUUGCUGCUUCGCUGACGAGUGGCGGACGGGUGAGUAAUGUCUGGGAAACUGCCUGAUGGAGGGGGAUAACUACUGGAAACGGUGGCUAAUACCGCAUAACGUCGCAAGACCAAAGAGGGGGACCUUCGGGCCUCUUGCCAUCAGAUGUGCCCAGAUGGGAUUAGCUUGUUGGUGAGGUAACGGCUCA
rnacentral:rRNA from 1 species